rnacentral:misc_RNA from 1 species
GAUGAAGAACGUAGCGAAAUGCGAUACGUAAUGUGAAUUGCAGAAUUCAGUGAAUCAUCGAAUCUUUGAACGCAUAUUGCGCUCUCUGGUAUUCCGGAGAGCAUGCUUGUUUGAGUAUCAGUAAACACCUCAACUCCCUUUUCUUUUUUGAAAUUGGAGCUGGACUUGAGUGAUCCCAACGCUUUCUUCCAAGAAAGUGGCGGGUUGCUUGAAAUGCAGGUGCAGCUGAACUUUUCUCUGAGCUAUAAGCAUAUCUAUUUAGUCUGCCUAAAAAACAGAUUAUUACCUUUGCUGCAGCUAACAUAAAGGAGACUAGUUCUUGUGCUGACUGAUGCAGGAUUCACAGAGACAGCUUCGGCUGACUUUGUAAACUCGAUCUCAAAUCAAGUACGACUACCCGCUGAACUUAAGCAUAUCAAUAAGCGGAGGA